rnacentral:rRNA from 1 species
CCAAUAGCGUAUAUUAAAGUUGUUGCAGUUAAAAAGCUCGUAGUUGAACUUCGGGGUUUACUCAUUGGUCAGGCUUAAUUGUCUGUACUGGUGAGCUGAAUCUCUACCUUCUGAGGAACUUUCAUGCCAUUUAUUUGGUGUGAUGGGAAAUCAGGACUGUUACUUUGAAAAAAUUAGAGUGUUUAAAGCAGGCUAACGUCUGAAUACAUUAGCAUGGAAUAAUGAAAUAGGACGGACUGAUUCUAUUUCGUUGGUUUCUAGGAUCACCGUAACGAUUAAUAGGGAUAGUUGGGGGCAUUAGUAUUCAAUUGUCAGAGGUGAAAUUCUUGGAUUUAUUGAAGACUGACUACUGCGAAAGCAUUUGCCAAGGAUGUUUUCAUUAAUCAAGAACGAAAGUUAGGGGAUCGAAGACGAUCAGAUACCGUCGUAGUCUUAACCAUAAACUAUGCCGACUAGGGAUCGGACGAAGUUAAUUUUAUAAUGACGCGUUCGGCACCUUACG